UACGUAGGGUGCGAGCGUUGUCCGGAAUUAUUGGGCGUAAAGGGCGUGUAGGCGGUUUGUCGCGUCUGCCGUGAAAAUCCGGGGCUCAACCCCGGACUUGCGGUGGGUACGGGCAGACUAGAGUGUGGUAGGGGAGACUGGAAUUCCUGGUGUAGCGGUGAAAUGCGCAGAUAUCAGGAGGAACACCGAUGGCGAAGGCAGGUCUCUGGGCCACUACUGACGCUGAGGCGCGAAAGCUAGGGGAGCGAACAGG
rnacentral:rRNA from 1 species